rnacentral:SRP_RNA from 1 species
CGCACUAAUCGGGGAGUUAGCGGUGCCCUGUACCUGCAAUCCGCUAUAGCAGGGGUGAAUUCCCGCACCCGGGCAAGUUUUGUAUAUCGUCUGACCUGCGUAAGUGGUGUUGAGAGAUCGGUCUUGCGCAACGAGAUCCCGUGAACCAUGUCAGGUGGGGAACCAAGCAGCAUUAAGCGGAUCUUCUCGUGUGCCGCGGGGUUGCCGUUCUUGAGCUAACUGCGCAGGUUACGGAUG